AGGAUUAUAGUUAACAAUAAUAUUUGAUUUGCAAUCAAAAGGUAUUCUGAUAAGAAUUAAUCUUA
rnacentral:tRNA from 1 species